rnacentral:tRNA from 1 species
AGUGAGGUGGCCGAGUGGCUUAAGGCGCACGCUUGGAAAGCGUGUAUACAGCAAUGUAUCGGGGGUUCGAAUCCCUUCCUCACUGCAA